rnacentral:lncRNA from 1 species
AAAAAUAAUAAUAAAUACCAACAGGCAUUUUGAGAGACGACUAUGUAUCGAUGACGCGUUCAACGUCAUUUUCGCGCCGUAGUUUUUCUUUCUCCAAAAACCGUCACGGAUAUCAUUAACAAAUGCAUCUACAACGAUUAACUGAACCUUUAACCUGACCGUUUACUAACCGUCCAUCAACUAACCCGUUUAUUGACCGAGUAGUGACGGAAACGACCAACACACCGGUAACUGAGCUAGCAUUAACCGACGAGAAGCUAACAUCGAUGCCCGGUAAUUAAGGCGUAAUGACGGACACAAAGCACUGCAGCACCGCUCAGGUGUCCCUCCACUCUCCAGAGUGCAAAGAUGAGAGCUCAGAUGACGAACCUCUGAGUGAAACUGCCAAAAAACUGACGUCUAAAGGUAAAACAUCACCUAGUGAAGAAGAAAGUCCAUCGAGCACACCCAGAAGGAGCGCGGCAAAGAAAAAAGUUAAAAUCGUUGAGCCUUCGAAUGAAAGUUCAGAUGAUGAGUCGCUGGCACGUAUCAGCAGGAAGAAAACAAACAAGCCUUCAGUAAAAGAGUCUCCAGACAAAGACGAAAACGACAGCUCAGACGAUGAACCUCUGACACCAGUGUCAAAAAAGAAACCAGAAAUAAAGAAUCAAAACAAGAAGUUACUCAAUGAGUCUCAGGAUAAGUCUGACAGCUCAGACGAUGAACCCCUGUCAACAUUAUCAAAGAAGAAGGAAAAUAUUUCAUCUUCAAAAGUCAAAGGAAAAGCACAAACAGCGUCCCAGGAGAAAGACGACAGCUCAGAUGACGAACCAUUGGCUGCUGUAAUGAAGAAGAAAAAAGCCCUAAAAGAGACAAAGACCUCAGGCAAGAAAACAACAACAAAUCAGACCAACAAAGUCCUCAAACAGUCUCCAGAUGAAGGCUACACCAGCUCAGAUGAUGAAUCUCCUGCACUCACUAAGGGCAAAAAAACAAAAAGUCCCAAAGGGAAAAAAAGGGUUUCACAUGGAAAGAAGAAUAAAACCCAUUCAGUCGACGAGUUAGAAGACGAGAGUUCAGAGGACGAACCUUUGAGUAAAAAAGCCAAAAAACUGAGAGAAAAGAAACCGACGGUUAAAGACACUCCAGUAAAACAACCCAGAAGGAGCUCGACCAUGAAAAGAGUGAAAUACGUUGAGAGUCCCAGUGACGGCUCAGAGGACGACACGCUGUCGUCAACAAGCAGCAAGAAAACAAACAAGAAAACAACUCCACAGAAGAACAAACAGCCUGAUGAGUGUAAAGAUGACGACUCAGACGACGAACCUCUGAGUAAAAUCACCAAAAAACCAAAGUCCAAAGGAAGAAAGUCACUGAAUGAAGAAAAGACUCCAUCGAACACGCCCAGGAGGAGCGUGACUAAGAAAAGUGUGAAAUACGUUGCAUCUCCGAGUGAAAGCUCAGAUGAUGAGUCAUUGGCGUCUAUCAGGAAGAAGCAAACAAAGACAACAGAGAAUCUACCAAAAGAGUCUCCAGACAAAGACGACAGUUCAGAUGAUGAACCUCUGGCAAAUAUAACGAAGAAACACGUAAAAGCUCCUGUUGGGAAAAAUGAACCAAGAGGAAAAUCACAGAAAGAGUCUACAGACGAAGACAAAAGCUCAGACGAUGAACCUCUGACUAAACGAACUAAACACAAGAAAAACGAUUUCAAAGAGAAAAAGAUUUUAACUGCAAAGAAAGUGACAAAAAAGACACGUGUGAGGAAAUCACAAAAAGAGUUAGAAGACGAGAGUUCAGAGGACGAACCUUUGAGUAAAAAAGCCAGAAAACUGAGAGAAAAGAAACCGACGGUUAAAGACACUCCAGUAAAACAACCCAGAAGGAGCUCGACCAUGAAAAAAGUGAAAUACGUUGAGAGUCCCAGUGACGGCUCAGAGGACGACACGCUGUCGUCAACAAGGAGCAAGAAAACUUCACGGAAGAACAAACAACAUGAUGGAAGCAGCAGCAACAGCUCAGACGACGAGCCUCUCAUCACCAUUUUAAGCAAAACCAACACAAACAAAUCACCCAAAACUAAAACUAAGGCUUCAAGUGUUAAAAGAAAAGCCUCGACAGACUCAUCAUCAGAGGAGGAGGAGCCUUUACUUAAAGCAGCCAAACAUCCACAAGUGACCAAAAUCCUAAGAGUCCUUCUAGAGCGCUACGAGAACGUGGAGGCCAAAGAAAGCCUGAAGGAAUCGAUCACAGAGAGCACAGAGUCUGUGAUGGAGGAUUCUGAGAUUCCAGAGGAAACGACAGAAGAAAAGACUCUUUAAAUUUUAUUCUUCCCCAAGUAAUACACAUUCCCAUUGUUCAUUGGUGUUAAAAAAGGUUUUAUUCGUUUCAUUUUUAAUGUGUUUUUAGGACCGCUGCUUUUGUAUUCACACAGCGUUUAGAUUAAAGGAUCCAGUUGUUGUAUUAAAUAAAAAGCUUGCACAAGG